ensembl:lncRNA
GCAGAAGGAAGGAACUCACGCCUCUAGUAAAAUAGUAUCUCACUCUCUCUCUCUCACCGCAGGUGGAUGGCACACCACGUGGCCCUCUUGCGCUAUCGAGUGUAAUUAUAACACAUUGGCUUUGGGCUUUAAAAUUACAAGCCUGCCCACGGAUUGUUUCAUCUUCUUCUUAAAAUAAUUUACCCCUUCAAAUCCGUGAGUAGGCCUUUAGUUAAGACAGAAUGCAGGUGUUACGGAGGCGCUUGUUGAACGGGAGGCACAAGGCGAAUAGAAGGCACUAGGACCGGGGAGAGUUCCCUCUCAGGAGCGCAGGCUAUGAGCAUCGCAUCCACAUAGCGGGGCUGUGGAGGAAACCCCCCCAUCGGAUCUGGCAAUACAGGAUACUUGCGAUUAUAUCCAUACAUUUAUUUUCCAGUCUGUGGCGUGGUGCGGUUUAGCGGAGUGCACAGUCCUGCGUUUGGGAUGGUUGGGCACACUCCAGAGAAUUCCUGAUCGAACCUCUUGGCAAAAGCGAGCAGGCAGAUUUAGGGGGGAGUUCAGUAGGCUACGCUCUUCCAUUGCCCCCCGUUCGUUUUGUAAAUGCCAUAUUUGUUGCCUUUUAUUUUGUAGUUGGUCAUAAUAAUUUCUUUUUUUUUUUUUUUUACAAUAGAAACCCCCUUUUCUUCGAUCUCUCAGUCUCUCACCUAAAUGCACGUCUGUUUAUUGAGUGAGCUUGGCACUUCUUCAUCCGUCUGAGAACAGAAACAAGAUCCACAUCUUUCUCUUUGGAUUAAACUUCCGUUUAAACCGCCGCGGCUAUCGUCCGAAUGGGUGAUCUGCUUGAAAUACAGUUCUUCAGUGGCACCCUGACACUCCAUGGAAACAUGUUCUCUCUGGCUGAUCCCCGUCGCUGUGAUGUCCAAAGCUUUCCCCACUGACUGACGGACGCUCGUGGAUCAUUUUGUAAAGCGAUUUGAAGGCUGUUAGGUCAAGGGGAAAAUGAGGCCUCCUAGCCCUCUCCUGAUCCUGCUGUAUGUCACCCUGUCCCGUGCCAUGAAGACAGUCUCCAAGAGAGGCUCAGUUUAUUUUUGGCACGCUUUUCAUCCAAAAUUCUGAAUGCUGCCCUCUCU